GCUUUUGAUCUCGUUCGCUCGAUCUGCCUUGCUGGAGGUUUUUCACCCCGGUGUCAAAAAUCCCACGGCUUGUUUCUUUCCACACCACUCUUUCUUGCUCAGGCGGAUGACAAGUGGGCCUUCGUCUCUCACGGGCCUAGCUUGGAAGUGCGCGUGCUGUGUGUUCGUCGCCCGCGCCUUGCGUGAAAAAUACAUUAACCGCGGCCAUCGUGGAUGAUUCACCCACCAAUCCCGUGUCCUCCUCCCCACCAAUCGCCCGUCCUCCUCGAGGCCAGGGCACAACAAUAGCCAUGCCUCGCCGCCACCUCUCCUUCCCCGCUCAUCCUCUCCAGACGCCGCCGCCGCCACCCCUGUCUCUCCUCCUCUCUCCUCAUCACCAUCAUCACGCGUGCCCACCCAACGAAUCAGGUGGCCAGUGCGGGAUGCAAUGGCGCAUCUGGCCAGAGGAGAACGGAGCGGCUGCAUCUCCUGGCAACGGCAGUGGGGGCGGGCGAGGUUGCAAGGUGACGGCUGAGGCGGCGGCGGUGCCAGCGGAUGGAGGAGCCGCUCUCAGAUCGAGUUUGGGCUGGCAAGACUGCAGGGCGACGGCCCCAGGCGGGGGUGCAAGGAUCCGGUCGGUGUGCUGUUGCUGCCGCCGACGGACAGAAGAGGCGCCCUCGGCCGGGUCGAAGUGGCAGCGCUGUCGGUGAUGCCAAGGGGCAAGGAAAUGGGCAAGCGAGACCAGAGAGGGAAGGAACAGGGCGUGGCCUCACACACUGGCUCGUCGUCAGCUUCACCGUUACUUGCAGCUGAAGAAGACAGAUACCAGCAGCCGAUGGCGCCGUCCCAGCUGGUGUUGCUUACCACAGGCUCUGAGGUAUGGUAGGAUGCGAUUCUUAUUUUGAAGAGUGGCACGCUCGAGUUGUGAAUCUGCUGCCAUACGUUGGCUGAGGAAAAAAUAAUGGCACUUAUAAUAUUUGUGCAGCCAAGUUUGCGAGAUUUACAGACUUGAUGCAGUAACACUGUAAAUAGGUAUAGAUUCAGACCUCACCAAAGACAUGUUCAUCCUAUUGCUUGCCUCGGUAUUCCAUAGAUUAUCUGCCCGGUAUGCCUAUUGCUUUCCUAGCUUGGUAAGUUUAUUAGCCUGAAUUUUUUGAGGUGAAUAUGCUAAGUUUACAUGUUGUAAAUAGAUUAUGAUCUAAUAGCCAGCAAUCUCUCGGCACAUUCGCUCACAGUAGUUUGUGUCAUUGAUGUUUUUCUUAAUCUACACAUGCGCUUGUAUCAUGCUCCUCAUAUAUUAGAAUAGAUCAGUUUUGUUCUAAGGUUUUAUUCAUUUAUUUAUUUCUGCGAGGUGGCUAUCUAGUAUUCAAAUUAACCAGACCAUUUUUUACUUACCUAUAGACCAUUUUAGAUCUACUCUGACAACCAAUACGGCCUUCAAGUCCACUAGAAGAAGCAGCUUGUGAAGCAUCCAAGUGGUUAGCCUAGAGCACAUGAAACAAUUACCAGCUCAUCAAAAUUUACAGCUGAAGUUAGAUAAAAAAAUUAGUAACAGUGAUCAAGUGGAUGUACACCCAACUGGAUUUAUAGCUGAAGCAGAAAUAAAAGGAAACUAGCAACAAAAUAGAUGUGUUACACGAGAUCUGACUUAAAAUGGCAGAUUGCUUGAAGUUGCAAAACUAGCUAACUUGAAAUUACCUCAGGACCAAGGGGGUCUUCUGGGUGUCUUUCUCUACGUACAGGUGAAUAUUUAUAUCCAGAGGAUCCAAUGGCACCAUUCAGAGUGACAUUAGCUGUUUGCUGAAUGUUAUUUUUAUCAGAUGCAUUAUCCCCUUGAGUUAUAGCCUAUAGUUCCUCACUUCCUUCGAAGUUCUUGCAAUCCAUACAUUUACAAUUCUUGGAGCAAAGAAUAUUUGCUUGAAAGCAUUCACAGUACUUCUUGAGACGCCCUGAUUUUUUGCAGUGCCAGCCUUUAUUAUGUUUGGGAAGUGAAGGUGCUCUAGCAUCCUGAUGGCAGCGAAGAUUAGUCAAAUGCACGAAAAAGAAUCACAAGAAAGUAUUUUAUUUAAAUGCAGUAAACUUAUUUUUGAGUAAUCAUGUUCUUUUUCUGUUUUCCAGGAAGGUACAAAGGCUAAGGUAAAAAAUGAUUUUAGUGGGAGAUUCAACCUGGGAGAGGUGCGCAGAACUACUGAAGAAAAGAGAUUCUACAACUUGAAAAGCACCUCAAGGAAUUGUUAUUUCUGAUUGCAGUUGCAUCCCAGGUGGGCUGAGGUGAUAACAACUGAAUUCUGUUCUACUGCAGAUAGAUUCCGUAUGCACUUAUAUUUGCAUGGGCCCAAGGAUAGUUCUCUUUAUGUUGUAGUACCACUUACAAAUGUAUAUUCUGUGAAAGGAAGCGGAUAAUUUAAAUGGGCCCAAGGGACUUGUGGUGAGGCCUACAAGGCUGGAACACUGUCUGUUGGAUAUUCAUUUGUCAACUAAUACAUGACCAUACUAGAGAA